UACGUAGGGGGCUAGCGUUGUCCGGAAUCAUUGGGCGUAAAGCGCGUGUAGGCGGUCCGGUAAGUCCGCUGUGAAAGUCGGGGGCUCAACCCUCGGAUGCCGGUGGAUACUGUCGGGCUUGAGUACGGAAGAGGCGAGUGGAAUUCCUGGUGUAGCGGUGAAAUGCGCAGAUAUCAGGAAGAACACCCGUGGCGAAGGCGGCUCUCUGGUACGUGACUGACGCUGAGACGCGAAAGCGUGGGGAGCAAACAGG
rnacentral:rRNA from 1 species